rnacentral:tRNA from 1 species
UGUAGCUCAGUGAUAGAGCGUCUGCCUACUAUGUGGAAAACCCUGGGUUUAAUCCCCAGCA